rnacentral:rRNA from 1 species
AAUUCGAUUAGUUUGAUCCUGGCUCAGGACGAACGCUGGCGGCGUGCCUAAUGCAUGCAAGUCGCACGCAGCACCUUCGGGUGCUGAGUGGCGCACGGCUGAGUAACACGUGCGGACCGGCCCACUUGUGGGGGAUAACGGUGCGAAAGCGCUGCUAAUCCCGCAUACGCUCUGCGGAGGAAAGCGUGGCAACACGCGCAAGUGGACGGGCGUGCGGCCCAUCAGGUUGUUGGUGUGGUAACGGCGCACCAAGCCGGUGACGGGUCGCUGGUCUGUGAGGACGACCAGCCAGACUGGGACUGAGAACGGCCCAGACUCCUACGGGAGGCAGCAGCAAGGAAUUUUCCCCAAUGGGCGCAAGCCUGAGGGAGCAACGCCGCGUGCGGGAUGACGGCCUUCGGGUUGUAAACCGCUUUUCGGUGGGAUGAUACUGACAGUACCACCGGAAUAAGCCCCGGCUAACUCUGUGCCAGCAGCCGCGGUAAGACAGAGGGGGCAAGCGUUGUCCGGAUUAACUGGGCGUAAAGGGCCCGCAGGUGGUGCCGCAAGUGGUGAUUGAAAUCCGUUGGCUUAACCAACGGGCGCAUCGCCCGACUGCGGCACUCGAGCCAUGCAGAGGUGUGUGGAAUUGCCGGUGUAGUGGUGAAAUGCGUAGAGAUCG